AGUAAUACAUAAGUAACCUGCCCUAGACAGGGGGAUAACGUUCUGAAAAGAACGCUAAUACCGCAUGAGACUACAGAGCUGCAUGGCUCAGUGGUCAAAGGAGCAAUCCGCUGAAAGAUGGACUCGCGUCCGAUUAGAUAGUAGGCGGGGUAACGGCCCACCAAACCUUCGAUGGAUAGGGGUUCUGAGAGGAAGGUCCCCCACAUUGGAACUGAGACACGGUCCAAACUCCUACGGGAGGCAGCAUG
rnacentral:rRNA from 1 species